rnacentral:rRNA from 2 species
UGCAGACGACGCGCGGCGUGCCUAAACUUGCAAGUCGAGGGGAAAGAUGGGAGCUUGCUCCUGAUGUAGCGGCGGACGGGUGAGUAACACGUGGGUAACUGCCUGUAAGACUGGGAUAACUCCGGGAAACCGGGGCUAAUACCGGAUGGUUGUUUGAACCGCAUGGUUCAGACAUAAAAGGUGGCUUCGGCUACCACUUACAGAUGGACCCGCGGCGCAUAGCUAGUUGGUGAGGUAACGGCUCACCAAGGCGACGAUGCGUAGCCGACCUGAGAGGGUGAUCGGCCACACUGGGACUGAGACACGGCCCAGACUCCUACGGGAGGCAGCAGUAGGGAAUCUUCCGCAAUGGACGAAAGUCUGACGGAGCAACGCCGCGUGAGUGAUGAAGGUUUUCGGAUCGUAAAGCUCUGUUGUUAGGGAAGAACAAGUGCCGUUCAAAUAGGGCGGCACCUUGACGGUACCUAACCAGAAAGCCACGGCUAACUACGUGCCAGCAGCCGCGGUAAUACGUAGGUGGCAAGCGUUGUCCGGAAUUAUUGGGCGUAAAGGGCUCGCAGGCGGUUUCUUAAGUCUGAUGUGAAAGCCCCCGGCUCAACCGGGGAGGGUCAUUGGAAACUGGGGAACUUGAGUGCAGAAGAGGAGAGUGGAAUUCCACGUGUAGCGGUGAAAUGCGUAGAGAUGUGGAGGAACACCAGUGGCGAAGGCGACUCUCUGGUCUGUAACUGACGCUGAGGAGCGAAAGCGUGGGGAGCGAACAGGAUUAGAUACCCUGGUAGUCCACGCCGUAAACGAUGAGUGCUAAGUGUUAGGGGGUUUCCGCCCCUUAGUGCUGCAGCUAACGCAUUAAGCACUCCGCCUGGGGAGUACGGUCGCAAGACUGAAACUCAAAGGAAUUGACGGGGGCCCGCACAAGCGGUGGAGCAUGUGGUUUAAUUCGAAGCAACGCGAAGAACCUUACCAGGUCUUGACAUCCUCUGACAAUCCUAGAGAUAGGACGUCCCCUUCGGGGGCAGAGUGACAGGUGGUGC